rnacentral:rRNA from 1 species
CCUACGGGAGGCAGCAGUGAGGAAUAUUGGUCAAUGGACGAGAGUCUGAACCAGCCAAGUAGCGUGAAGGAUGACUGCCCUAUGGGUUGUAAACUUCUUUUAUAUGGGAAUAAAAUGUUCCACGUGUGGGAUUUUGUAUGUACCAUAUGAAUAAGGAUCGGCUAACUCCGUGCCAGCAGCCGCGGUAAUACGGAGGAUCCGAGCGUUAUCCGGAUUUAUUGGGUUUAAAGGGAGCGUAGGUGGAUUGUUAAGUCAGUUGUGAAAGUUUGCGGCUCAACCGUAAAAUUGCAGUUGAAACUGGCAGUCUUGAGUACAGUAGCGGUGGGCGGAAUUCGUGGUGUAGCGGUGAAAUGCUUAGAUCUCACGCAGAACUCCGAUUGCGAAGGCAGUUCACUGGACUGCAACUGACACUGAGGCUCGAAAGUGUGGGUAUCAAACAGGUUUAGAUACCCUAGUAGUC